CCUACGGGUGGCAGCAGUGAGGAAUAUUGGUCAAUGGGCGCGAGCCUGAACCAGCGAAGUAGCGUGAAGGAUGACGGCCCUACGGGUUGUAAACUUCUUUUAUAAAGGAAUAAAGUGAGGCUCGUGUGCCUUUUUGUAUGUACUUUAUGAAUAAGGAUCGGCUAACUCCGUGCCAGCAGCCGCGGUAAUAAGGUGGAUCCGAGCGUUAUGCGGAUUUAUUGGGUUUAAAGGGAGCGGAGAUGGGUUGUUAAGUCAGUUGUGAAAGUUUGCGGCUCAACCGUAAAAUUGCAAUUGAUACUGGCAGUCUUGAGUACAGUUGAGGUAGGCGGAAUUCGAGGUGUAGCGGUGAAAUGCGUAGAUAUCACGAAGAACUCCGAUUGCGAAGGCAGCUUACUAAACUGCCACUGACAUUGAUGCUCGAAAGUGUGGGGAGCAAACAGGAUUAGAUACCCGUGUAGUC
rnacentral:rRNA from 1 species